UCUGCGGCCAUAUGAUAAAUUACAUGUGUCGGAGUAGAUCUAAUUAAUCCCAAACAUCUUCUGAGGUUAGAAUUGCAGCAAGUUGACAAUUUCUGUAAGGCGGAUUUCGAAAUAUUGGAAAAAGAUGAUGCGGCGUAUUCCAUUUUAGCGCGUGCAAAGGCUUUGUAGAGUUGCAAAGCUUUAGUUGGUGUUAUUCCAAAUUUGCAGCCACUCAGAAUGUUGAGAAAUCGACAUGUGUUGUUUGUUUUGUCCACUAUUUGUUUAAUAUGUUGUGUGCACGCAUUGUUGACGCUUACAUAUCUACCAAGAAUAACUUGAGUUUGGUCCCGUUUCUUAUGAUAACAUACAAGAAAAAAAUCAUCGGCAAACUGGAAAAGUUUACAAUUUUCAUUUAUUAUUGAGUGUAAUUGUGCAGUGUAUAGAUUAAAAAGUGUUGGGCUUAAGCCACUGCCUUGUGUUAAA